rnacentral:tRNA from 1 species
GGCCCGGUGGCAGAGUGGUGAUGCAGAGGACUGCAAAUCCUUUAAUGCCGGUUCGAUUCCGGCCCGGGCCUCCA